rnacentral:rRNA from 1 species
UACGAAGGGGGCUAGCGUUGUUCGGAAUUACUGGGCGUAAAGGGCGCGUAGGCGGACAGUUUAGUCAGAGGUGAAAGCCCAGGGCUCAACCUUGGAAUUGCCUUUGAUACUGACUGUCUUGAGUACGGGAGAGGUGUGUGGAACUCCGAGUGUAGAGGUGAAAUUCGUAGAUAUUCGGAAGAAUACCAGUGGCGAAGGCGACACACUGGCCCGUUACUGACGCUGAGGCGCGAAAGCGUGGGGAGCAAACCGG